rnacentral:rRNA from 1 species
AUUGAACGCUGGCGGCAGGCUUAACACAUGCAAGUCGAGCGGAGCGAGGGUGCUUGCACCUUAGCUUAGCGGCGGACGGGUGAGUAAUGCUUAGGAAUCUGCCUAUUAGUGGGGGACAACAUUCCGAAAGGAAUGCUAAUACCGCAUACGCCCUACGGGGGAAAGCAGGGGAUCUUCGGACCUUGCGCUAAUAGAUGAGCCUAAGGCGGAUUAGCUAGUUGGGGGGGUAAAGGCCUACCAAGGCGACGAUCUGUAGCGGGUCUGAGAGGAUGAUCCGCCACACUGGGACUGAGACACGGCCCAGACGCCUACGGGAGGCAGCAGUGGGGAAUAUUGGACAAUGGGCGGAAGCCUGAUCCAGCCAUGCCGCGUGUGUGAAGAAGGCCUUUUGGUUGUAAAGCACUUUAAGCGAGGAGGAGGCUACUUAGAUUAAUACUCUGGGAUAGUGGACGUUACUCGCAGAAUAAGCACCGGCUAACUCUGUGCCAGCAGCCGCCGUAAUAC